GCUAGCGCCGGUUAUAUCCGACAUUCACGAAGCGCGUCGCAUUGGCGAGCGACAGUAACGAUCACGACGCGCUAUACAACCGCAACCACGGUUUUAAUCGGGUCGGGUGUCUUCCUGGAGGAAGUCCUAAAGGAUAUAAGGACAAAACAGCCCAAGGUCAGAAUAAGUGAACCAGAUUUUGUCCUCUAAGAUGGAGUAUAAAAAUCUAAAAAAACGACAGCUGGUGAACGAGACUGAUUCGGAAAGCUGUGAUGAAAAUGAAUCAUAUAUAAACACGGGACAUCGAAGAAAAAGGCAAUUAAAUGUACCAAGUACAUCAGAAUCUGAAGAAACUGAUGAUGUUAACACCACACAUUCUACAAACUGUGGUAAUAGUAAUGAACUAAGACUCAUUGGAAAACACUUCCCUACUCCGUACAUAUCUGCAGGAAAAAAUAAAUUACGAAGAUGCGUUGUUUGCAGCAAAAAUUAUAAAAGACGCGAAUCACGUUAUCAAUGCGAUGAAUGUAACGUGGGAUUGUGCGUGCAUCCCUGCUUUAAAAUUUAUCAUACGCAAACAUAUUACUAAAUUAUAUCUAUCAUUGUUAUAUAAUUUCCAAUAAACAAGUCAGUGAAGAUUUA